ACCUGGCUAGCUCUGUUGAUAGAACAUGAGACUCUUGAUCUCAGGGUUGUGAGUUCAAGCCCCACAUUGGGUG
rnacentral:tRNA from 1 species